rnacentral:rRNA from 1 species
GACGAACGCUGGCGGCGUGCUUAACACAUGCAAGUCGAACGGAAAGGCCCUGCUUUUGUGGGGUGCUCGAGUGGCGAACGGGUGAGUAACACGUGAGUAACCUGCCCUUUACUUUGGGAUAACUUCAGGAAACUGGGGCUAAUACCGGAUAGGAGCUCCUGCUGCAUUGUGGGGGUUGGAAAGUUUCGGCGGUUGGGGAUGGACUCGCGGCUUAUCAGCUUGUUGGUGGGGUAGUGGCUUACCAAGGCUUUGACGGGUAGCCGGCCUGAGAGGGUGACCGGCCACAUUGGGACUGAGAUACGGCCCAGACUCCUACGGGAGGCAGCAGUGGGGAAUAUUGCACAAUGGGCGGAAGCCUGAUGCUGCAACGCCGCGUGCGGGAUGACGGCCUUCGGGUUGUAAACCGCUUUCGCCUGUGACGAAGCGUGAGUGACGGUAAUGGGUAAAGAAGCACCGGCUAACUACGUG